AGAGUUUGAUCCUGGCUCAGGAUAAACGCUGGCGGCGUGCAUUAUGCAUGCAAGUCGAACGGUGCCGCAAGGCACAGUGGCAAACGGGUGAGUAACACGUAAGUAACCUGCCUCUGAGUGGGGAAUAACUUCGGGAAACUGAGGCUAAUACCGCAUAUGGUGUACUCCCGCAGGAGGGUCCACCAAAGCCGCAAGGCGCUCGGAGAGGGGCUUGCGCCCGAUUAGCUAGUUGGUGGGGUAACGGCCUACCAAGGCUGUGAUCGGUAGCUGGUCUGAGAGGAUGGUCAGCCACACUGAGACUGAGACACGGCCCAGACUCCUACGGGAGGCAGCAGCAAGGAAUUUUGCGCAAUGGGCGAAAGCCUGACGCAGCAACGCCGCGUGAGGGAUGAAGGCCUUCGGGUUGUAAACCUCUUUUGUCAGGGACGAAUAAUGACGGUACCUGGCGAAUAAGCUUCGGCUAACUACGUGCCAGCCGCCGCGGUAAUUCA
rnacentral:rRNA from 1 species